UCUCAAAGAUUAAGCCAUGCAUGUCUAAGUACAUGCCGUAUUAAGGCGAAACCGCGAAUGGCUCAUUAAAUCAGUUACGGUUCCUUAGAUGUUGACUAUCUACAUGGAUAACUGUGGUAAUUCUAGAGCUAAUACAUGCACAAAAGCUCCGACCUUAGCGGAAGGAGCGCAUUUAUUAGACCAAGACCAAUGGGGCUCUUUCGGGGGUCCUUUUGAGUGGUGACUCUGGAUAACUUUUGCUGAUCGCAUGGCCUACGCGCCGGCGACGAAUCUUUCAAGUGUCUGCCUUAUCAACUGUCGAUGGUAGGUUAUGCGCCUACCAUGGUUGUAACGGGUAACGGGGAAUCAGGGUUCGAUUCCGGAGAGGGAGCCUGAGAAACGGCUACCACAUCCAAGGAAGGCAGCAGGCACGCAAAUUACCCACUCCCGGCACGGGGAGGUAGUGACGAAAAAUAACAAUACGGGACUCUAAUGAGGCCCCGUAAUUGGAAUGAGAACAAUCUAAAUCCUUUAACGAGGAUCUAUUGGAGGGCAAGUCUGGUGCCAGCAGCCGCGGUAAUUCCAGCUCCAAUAGCGUAUAUUAAAGUUGUUGCGGUUAAAAAGCUCGUAGUUGGAUCUCAGUUCAAGCCAAGCGGUCCACCUGCCGGUGGCUACUUCUUGGCUGAACAUUUUACCGACACGUCCCUUGGUGCUCUUCACCGAGUGUCAUGGGCGAUCGGUACGUUUACUUUGAAAAAAUUAGAGUGCUUAAAGCAGGCGUCACCGCCCGAAUAAUGUUGCAUGGAAUAAUGGAAUAGGACCUCAGUUCUAUUUUGUUGGUCUUCGGAACUUGAGGUAAUGAUUAAGAGGGACAGACGGGGGCAUUCGUAUUGCGGCGCUAGAGGUGAAAUUCUUGGACCGUCGCAAGACGAACUAAAGCGAAAGCAUUUGCCAAGAAUGUUUUCAUUAAUCAAGAACGAAAGUUAGAGGUUCGAAGGCGAUCAGAUACCGCCCUAGUUCUAACCAUAAACGAUGCCAACCAGCGAUCCGCCUGAGUUCCUUAAAUGACUCGGCGGGCAGCUUCCGGGAAACCAAAGUUUUUCGGUUCCGGGGGAAGUAUGGUUGCAAAGCUGAAACUUAAAGGAAUUGACGGAAGGGCACCACCAGGAGUGGAGCCUGCGGCUUAAUUUGACUCAACACGGGAAAACUUACCCGGCCCGGACACUGGCAGGAUUGACAGAUUGAGAGCUCUUUCUUGAUUCAGUGGGUGGUGGUGCAUGGCCGUUCUUAGUUGGUGGAGCGAUUUGUCUGGUUAAUUCCGAUAACGAACGAGACUCUAGCCUACUAAAUAGGCCACCGGCUUACUGACGUCGGUGGGACUUCUUAGAGGGACAGGCGGCGAUUCAGCCGCACGAAACAGAGCAAUAACAGGUCUGUGAUGCCCUUAGAUGUCCGGGGCCGCACGCGCGCUACACUGAAGUGAUCAGCGUGCAUUACAAACCUGCUCCGUCAGGAGUGGGGAACCCAAUGAACCUUCUUCGUGAUUGGGAUAGGGGAUUGUAAUUAUUCCCCUUGAACGAGGAAUUCCCAGUAAGCGCGAGUCAUAAGCUCGCGUUGAUUACGUCCCUGCCCUUUGUACACACCGCCCGUCGCUACUACCGAUUGAAUGAUUUAGUGAGGUCUUCGGACUGGCCGGCGCAGCUGUCUUCGGGCGGCCGCGCUGUGUUUGGAAAGAUGCCCAAACUUGAUCAUUUAGAGGAAGUAAAAGUCGUAA
rnacentral:rRNA from 1 species